rnacentral:rRNA from 1 species
GACGAACGCUGGCGGCGUGCUUAGCACAUGCAAGUCGAACGGAAAGGCCCUGCUUUUGUGGGGUGCUCGAGUGGCGAACGGGUGAGUAACACGUGAGUAACCUGCCCUUGACUUUGGGAUAACUUCAGGAAACUGGGGCUAAUACCGGAUAGGAGCUCCUGCUGCAUGGUGGGGGUUGGAAAGUUUCGGCGGUUGGGGAUGGACUCGCGGCUUACCAGCUUGUUGGUGGGGUAGUGGCUUACCAAGGCUUUGACGGGUAGCCGGCCUGAGAGGGUGACCGGCCACAUUGGGACUGAGAUACGGCCCAGACUCCUACGGGAGGCAGCAGUGGGGAAUAUUGCACAAUGGGCGGAAGCCUGAUGCAGCAACGCCGCGUGCGGGAUGACGGCCUUCGGGUUGUAAACCGCUUUCGCCUGUGACGAAGCGUGAGUGACGGUAAUGGGUAAAGAAGCACCGGCUAACUACGUG